UCGAUGGCAUGUCCAGUAGUGGUGCAGCCACCGCUGCUAUUCUCAAUUUGCUGCCAUAGCUUGGGGAAUGGAGGGUGCGUGAUCAGAUGAGGAAGUGGGAGAUGAAGACUCACCCCUGGCGGCGCAUUGAUACGAGGUUGCGGAUGGUUUCGAUUCCAGCCGUACACAACAAACUGCCCCGUGGAUGUCAGUUACACAUAUCGGUACCUUUGUAUUUGGUGUCCUGUGUUUCCCAACACCCCCAAACGGAGGAGUGGAGCCUGAGCCCAUAGCAAAUCGUGCUUGGGUGUGCCUGAUGCCGUUAAUGAAGUUCGUUAGGCUUGCAGGGGCCUUUGUUCAGGGGAUAGCCCCUUUCCGUCUUGGUUCAUGGUUUCGGAGGGUCAUGUAAUGUGAGGAGUUCAGGAGGUCGGAAACUUUCGUACUGUUGUAAUGUAACAGAUGAGCUGUAUGUACGUAUGUAUGUAUGUGGCGUAUUGAUGUGUGUCCAUGUUUGCAGGUUCACACUGAAGCGCUGCUUGGUGACCUCUCAAAUGCCACCUCGCGAAUCCACAAAAUGAACGAGCUUCAAGCGCGCUGAAGCACUCCACGACAGGGUUCUUCACCAGGGUACCCAAAAAUUUCGGCCGUGUCCGAAACCCUCUGAAUAACCUUUCGGGGCCCUCCCCGAAAAUUUUCCUGUCAGCCGGAGAGUGUUUUCGGGUACCCCGAAACUGUCUGAAGCGGUUUUCGGGGUAAAAUUUAGCUGGAUUCUAUCGUUAUAUGCUAGGACGGCUGAAUUAACAGGUGUUUGACUUUAUUUUGGAACAUAGCUCUUAGGAUUUUACCCAAAGCAAGGCUAUCUUAGACUUCAUAACUGAAAACUCUUUCUGCAAAACGUCAAGUUCGCUGACAUCGAAGGCAAACAGGCGGUUCGAGCUUGCCGAAGCCGCGAAUCCCGAGGGAGAUGCGGGGCACCUUGGUUGGGCGCUCAUCAUCAGUUGACUCGGGCAUGUUUAACUAUGCUUAGAUGUAUGAAAAUGUGGGAUAUGGAUAUGCUUAGAUGUAUGAAAAUGUGGCAUAUGGAUAUGCUUAGAUGUAUGCAGCCGCGAAACAGCCGCAAUGCACAUUUGUACUCAUUGUUUGGCUGGUGACCAAGCGGGCCUUAUACGGCAAGCCUGGUUUCCAGGCCCCGUCUGCGCCCGAAAACAUGCAAAUUUACGCUGACAUAUCGUUCGGUAUUCUCCAAAAAUGCCUUCAAAAGGCUUCGGUGGGGUCCCCGAAAAAAUGCUCUAAAAGGCCCAAAAUCCGUUCGGAAUGCUCCGGGCCGCACUAAUUUUCCUUUCGGGCAAAACGGAAAUAUCUCAAAAAAGUUCGGGCCCGAAUCGGGGUGAAGAACCCUGCUCCACGAGGCCUUAUGAAGGGGCGUAUGUGUCUUGAAAGAACUGGAAGGAAUAAUAAUCCUUUUUAUAUUGUGGUGGUGCUGGUGGUGAUUCCGAGAGCACACGGAUGAGUUGUCAGAGCGAGGCUUCGGUCGCAGCCGCCAGCUUGGAGCGAGGACAUUUUUUGCGCACAACCCGAGUUUGGUCCGAAGUGCAGCCCAAGAUAGCGGGCGCGCGUUUUCCACGUGACCGGCCAGAACAUCGGCAGNCCUUUCUCAAGCACGCGCAGGGUGAGGUCAUAUGCGCUGAGAGCAUAAACCUGGCUUCUAACCUGUACAUUGGGAUGUAAAAACAACAGCUUACACUUUCGGGCAUUCACAGUAACACCGAAAACCCCCGUCAUAGGCCUCACGCGCUCGGAAUUCCGGAAUUUGACCCCCAUGAAUUCGCAAGCAAAUCCGGGUCAAAUCCCAUCGGGAUUUGAGGAUUUGACCCCCAAAACAAUAAGCAAUAUAAUGGUCAUGCAAAGAUUUCCUCGGGCCUGGAAUUUGACGCAUUUGAGGAUUUGAACCCCCCAAAACAAUUAUCAUGGCCAUGCAAACAAUUCCAUGCGCAGCCGUUACAAUAUAUUGCAUAUCUUCGAGCGGCAUGUUAUGCUCGUGCCAGUCAGUCCUCGCGCCGCAUGCCUUCAAACAUUUAGUUAGACUUUUACUAUUAGAGUUAUUCCUCCAAAGCCGGCGCUCGCCGCAAAGAGCGAUGUCAGACAGCGGCGAUGGACGGGCCAACAAGCGCCGAAAGGCUCAACCAGGCACCCUAGAUGAACUGAACCGGCACGUGCAACAAUUAGGAAAGAAAACGAAUACGAACUGAACGUUUUCUUCAUAUGGGAUAACAAUUUCACUCGCAAGGGUCGCGGACAGCAUCCCCGCGAUUGAGAGGCAGCUAGGCGUCACAUUCUCUACUCAGGAUGUCUCAGACAUGCGCGUGAGUUAUCAAUAAAGUUAACCCCUAGUAUGUUGUGGUGGAAUGGUCGCUUUACCCUGUUGGUGCUCGUACGAGUGCCCCACCUAUCGUUCUGCAAGUUGUUCCACACGUGCUAAAACUAGCAUACGGGAAGCAGGACGCCACAGGGCGUCGUCGGGGCAGAGAGAAACCCACGGGUCGGCAACGAAUAUACAGUUCGAACGCAUGCGCAUGCACAUGCACACACGCAGCUGCAGCUGCGUGCGCACAAACUCUCACUUGCGCGCCACAGGGUGGUGUGGCUCAAAACAACUUACACCACCACAAGUGGGAGAAGACAAAACACAUGCAUUCCUACCCACAAAAAUGCGCGUCCUCCACAAUAGCUNNNNNNNNNNNNNNNNNNNNNNNNNNNNNNNNNNNNNNNNNNNNNNNNNNUCCAGGCUGCCCCAGUCCGGUCUGCAAGACUACACGCAUCGGGAAAUGUCCAUGAAGGAACAUGAGCAGCUCAGAAUGUGAUCACGGAAGAUUCGUCCAAGCGACAGGCUGUCCGUGCCCCUCUCGGCACGGCCCUUCAGGUCGCUGCGGCGUAAGUAGGGUUUCGAGCGGGUGAGGUUUAACGAGCAAUUAGGCGCCGGAGAUGUGCCGGUUUGUAGCAUUAUUCACGCGGUCUUUUAUAUAUACUUUAUAUAUGAUGUCCGCGGACGUGCAAGGUAUUGCACGACAUAGCGACCACAUAAGACAUAACCAAAUUACAGCCAGUUCCUCAAAAAAAAAGAUAGUAUUACACAAUUUAUUGGACCGGCCUAUUAUAAUUGCGACCCGGGCUUUAUGUUUGCAUCACGGAAAGCUUGCGGAUUUUGGCCAACUUGUUUCGGAGAAAUAAUUUACCUGCUUCCCAUCUGAAACCGAUUUUUUCGGCAAUUCGUUACGCGCAGGCAUUUGUUGGUUGCAUUUUUGGAGCAGCGCUGGAUUGAUUAGGCUCGGAGGCUCUAGUCAAUUGGAAAUGUCCCUUUGUCCUCCUAGCACUUCUGCUAGCACAGCAAGUAGUAGCUCUCGAUGCUUAUUCGCAGUGUCCGCAUUACCUAGAAUCAGGAGCGCAACCCGAAGGGUCACGUAUGAAGUGCGCGCAGCUACUUCAGCGAACCCGGAUCCUGAAAAGGGCCAGCCAGCAGGUUCAAAAGGAGCAAACACAGCCUUUCCGACACAAAGCUUGGCCCACCUGUGGCCAAACGUGUCGUGGAGUCGUUACCACAUCCAAGUCCUCUUCGUAAGUGAAAUCGGAAGCAACAGCAUUGUGCUCGGUUUCAGUUAUCCGUCGCCUCGUGUGUUCAAUUGGAUUCCGGAAAGAUGCGGUUGCACCAGCUUCACCGAGGCCGCAAGGCGUGGCCUAUGUCCCGUGGCGAGUCAUAGUUAAGGAGUCUCCUCAACAUACAAAGCUUGGCUUGCAGUUUAGUUUAUCCUAAGUCUUCCAGCGUCACAUUUCACACAAUUGCCCAUAAGAGUACCGUAACUAAUUUCUGUGCAACCCCAAUCACCACCAAGCUCGAUGCCACUCCCAACCCAACCAGGUCGACCGCACGGACACAGUUCGCGCGCGGCUUGCGGCGGGCCUAUUCGAACGCUGUGCCGAGUGGAAUGGCUACGGGAGGUGCGAGCGGUAGCCACGUGGCCCGGGGUCGCCGUGCCCUACUGCCACCAUCUUCAGCCCUGUUAGGUCAAAUCAUUAUGCUUGCCUGUGGCUGUCGCCACAUCAUCCUCACACGCUCUCCUACCUGGCGUUCCUCUUCUGGGCAGCCUCUUCAUCACCCAUCACCGUGGUGCACAAGGAGGGGGCGUUGUGUGUGCCUAGGCAUUCAUCCCUGGCACACUCCCAACACGGCUAUAAAAAUAUGCGAACUCCUCAGUGGCAGGCCCCAUAUAUACAACCACACUUCCAUGUGGAUUCUGUACUCGCAUACCGCAGCCUGCCCCACCUCUCAGCUCUCUGUACCUGUGCUGCACCUUGCCGUACUCGCCAGACAAUUUUGCGGACAAAUUUUUAUCUUAGCCUCUGCGAUCUAUCUCUUUCUUGGCAGGGCUCUGUAUCCCUGGACCUGCGGUAUGGCGGUGGGCGGGCCCCGUGACAUCCACGCCAUUUCCAAACUUACAGCCCUAAUGCGAGGAGCCAGCGAUCUAGAAAUCCUGCCUCGCUACUUCACUCGACCUGCGGAGGCCUUUGAGCUCGAGGAUUUGGACCGCUACGACUUGGUCAUGGCGCUAGAUUCGCAGAUUCUGGACGAGAUGCGUCAAAUGGUGGUUUCGGAGCACCAAGCCGGACCGGAUCGAGACUACUACCUCGAGGUCGGUGAUUUGCGACCCGUGAUGGACGCACGAUGGGGUAUGGAGCAGUAGCUCGCCUAUAUCUUAUCAAUUCCUACCUAUUGUGUGCGGGGUGUUUCCGCUGCGAAUGACUUCCUCACCCUGGGCCUAACAAGACCCAGACGAAACGUACAGAAGGGCCAGAAAAAUGGCUGAGAGUUUUUUUUUCUUUGCAGCCAUGUCCUGUGGCUCCCGCUUUCUGCAUUCCGGCAGCGUGAUUCAAUUCGACUCCGGUUCCGGAUCCACAUCUUGGAUCUGAUAAGAUCGCAAUCUUUAAUUCCACAGAAAAUUUGCCUCCUUACGACAUUCAGCCAUUAUGAGUCGGAUGCGGUGCUCACGCGGCGAGGCGGUUUCGCGCUGCUGCCGGCGCAGCUGUCCUUCCUGCUGAAGACUGGGGCCGGUGGCCUCAAGGUGGGUGAUCAACGGAGGGAACGGAAGCAGAAAGGGUGGGCAGGAGGGAGGAAUGGGGUACUGGGGGGUUUGGCUGAAUGGGAGGAGUUGUGGAUGAAAAGUAAUAAUGACAAACAUAACUGGGGGGGCGGCUUUUCAAAGCCGAAAAGGGGCUCGGCCCCGGUGCAGCCACUUACAGGAAAGCUAUCUUUGUCGAUUUAUCUGGAAUGUCUCCUUUGGCAUUUCGAUGUAGAAUAGAUAUAGCUUCUACAUUCAAUCUUUUGCGGAGCGAGAUAUGUAACUUUAUGUUUAACUCGGAGCCAUGGAAAGCUAUCUUCGCGCUCCGAUUUAUCUGGAAUGUCUCCUUUGGCAUUUCGAUGUAGAAUGGAUAUAGCAUUCAAACGCUAUUUUUUGCGGGGCGAGAUAUGUAAGCCACUGACUGACUGACUGACUGACUGACUGAUUGACUGACUGACUGACUGACUGACUGACUGACAGCAGUGAACCCGGGGGGGCUCGGCCCCCCGAAUGGCGCUUCGCGCCCGGGGCCUCGCCCAAAAAUAUUAUAAAAAUAAUAUUGUCAUAUUUUAUUAGGAAUAAUUAUGUAUGAACGGUUAAAGCAAUUAUGAACCGGUUAUGUGGCUGAGCGGGAGCCAAUACCCACCAGGACUUGCUUGCAUGUCUCCUCUCAUCCCGCCAUGCACUUCCGCGCCCCUCACCUCUGCUCGUCUUACUCACUAUUUUAUCUUUUUCUCAGGCGAGCAAGGCGGUGGUGGACAUCGCCUCACCCGACCUCUCUUCCCCCGAUGGAGCCGCACAAUGGGAGGCCACCGUGGCUGCUCUCAUCCUCUCGACCGCCAGCCUAGUAAAGUACCUCAUAGAUGCCUACCCGGAAAACCUGCCCCACUGGGACCCCAUAGACUGAGCAUAUUUGCAUGGUGAAAGCCAUGGAAACACGGAUACAAGUGCCGUGGGCUCAGUAUUUUGUGUCAAGCACUGUUGACUGCACCACGGAUGCAGGGUGCAUGUUCCCUCUUGGGGAGCAGACUGCCAGCAAAUGCUGAGCGGAAGAGGUGUGCCUGAGUUUGUCCUUGUUCAGUUGCUUGCCUGCUGCACACUUGGCUCGGUUUGGCAUGGCAUGGUGCAGAUCAGUUGGCGUAGUGUGGCGUGGUGUGGCUUGUCCUGGUUGCAGUGACACAGCGUGCCCAACCCCGCCGAAUGCCAUGUUUUUUGUUUGCCACAGUGAAGCGGGCUUCUUGGUGCCCAUUGCAGUCAGGAAACUAGAGUCCCUUGGCCUGCUUGGUGCCAGCACUGCUGUACCCACUAGGGGUUAUCACCAUCGAUGGCAUGUCCAGUAGUGGUGCAGCCACCACUGCUAUUCUCAAUUUGCUGCCCUAGCUUGGGGAAUGGAGGGUGCGUGAUCAGAUGAGGAAGUGGGAGGUGAGGAGUCACCCCUGGCGGCGCAGUGAUACGAGGUUGCGGAUGGUUUCGAUUCCAGCCGUACACAACAAACUGCCCCGUGGAUGUCAGUUACACAUAUCGGUACCUUUGUAUUUGGUGUCCUGUGUUUCCCAACACCCCCAAACGGAGGAGUGGAGCCUGAGCCCAUAGCAAAUCAUGCUUGGGUGUGCCUGAUGCCGUUAAUGAAGUUCGUUAGGCUUGCAGGGGCCUUUGUUCAGGGGAUAGCCCCUUUCCGUCUUGGUUCAUGGUUUCGGAGGGUCAUGUAAUGUGAGGAGUUCAGGAGGUCGGAAACUUUCGUACUGUUGUAAUGUAACAGAUGAGCUGUAUGUACGUAUGUAUGUAUGUGGCGUAUUGAUGUGUGUCC
rnacentral:lncRNA from 1 species